rnacentral:rRNA from 1 species
UGCCCUAGUAACGGCGAGUGAAGCGGCAACAGCUCAAAUUUGAAAUCUGGCCUUCGGGUCCGAGUUGUAAUUUGUAGAGGAUGCUUUUGGUGCGGUACCUUCCGAGUUCCCUGGAACGGGACGCCAUAGAGGGUGAGAGCCCCGUACGGUUGGAUACCUAGCCUCUGUAAAGCUCCUUCGACGAGUCGAGUAGUUUGGGAAUGCUGCUCUAAAUGGGAGGUAAAUUUCUUCUAAAGCUAAAUACCGGCCAGAGACCGAUAGCGCACAAGUAGAGUGAUCGAAAGAUGAAAAGCACUUUGAAAAGAGGGUUAAAUAGCACGUGAAAUUGUUGAAAGGGAAGCGCUUAUGACCAGACUUUUGUCCGGCGGAUCAUCCGGUGUUCUCACCGGUGCACUUCGCCGGGCUGAGGCCAGCAUCGAUUUCUGUAGGGGGAUAAAGACUUCAGGAAAGUAGCUCCCUUCGGGGAGUGUUAUAGCCAGUUGUGUAAUACCCCUAUAGGGAUCGAGGUUCGCGCAUCUGCAAGGAUGCUGGCAUAAUGGUCAUCAGCGACCCGUCUUGAAACACGGACCAAGGAGUCGAACAUUUAUGCGAGUGUUUGGGUGUUAAACCCUCACGCGUAAUGAAAGUGAACGGAGGUGAGAGCCCUUACGGGUGCAUCAUCGACCGAUCCUGAUGUCUUCGGAUGGAUUUGAGUAAGAGCAUAACUGUUCGGACCCGAAAGAUGGUGAACUAUGCGUGGAUAGGGUGAAGCCAGAGGAAACUCUGGUGGAGGCUCGCAGCGGUUCUGACGUGCAAAUCGAUCGUCAAAUCUGCGCAUGGGGGCGAAAGACUAAUCGAACCAUCUAGUAGCUGGUUACCGCCGAAGUUUCCCUCAGGAUAGCAGUGUUGUUUUCAGUUUUAUGAGGUAAAGCGAAUGAUUAGGGACUCGGGGGCGCCAUAUAGCCUUCAUCCAUUCUCAAACUUUAAAUAUGUAAGAAGCCCUUGUUACUUAAUUGAACGUGGGCAUUCGAAUGUAUCAACACUAGUGGGCCAUUUUUGGUAAGCAGAACUGGCGAUGCGGGAUGAACCGAACGCGAGGUUAAGGUGCCAGAGUAGACGCUCAUCAGACACCACAAAAGGUGUUAGUACAUCUUGACAGCAGGACGGUGGCCAUGGAAGUCGGAAUCCGCUAAGGACUGUGUAACAACUCACCUGCCGAAUGUACUAGCCCUGAAAAUGGAUGGCGCUCAAGCGUCUCACCCAUACCUCGCCCUUAGGGUAGAAACGAUGCCCUAAGGAGUAGGCGGCCGUGGGGGUCAG